rnacentral:rRNA from 1 species
UGCGUAGGCGGCCUGACAAGUCAGAAGUGAAAGGCUACGGCUUAACCGUAGUAAGCCUUUGAAACUGACAGGCUUGAGUGCAGGAGAGGAAAGUGGAAUUCCUAGUGUAGCGGUGAAAUGCGUAGAUAUUAGGAGGAACACCAGUGGCGAAGGCGACUUUCUGGACUGUAACUGACGCUGAGGCACGAAAGCGUGGGGAGCGAACAGGAUUAGAUACCCUGGUAGUCC